UUAAGUGAAUAAGGGCGCACGGUGGAUGCCUUGGCACUAGGAGCCGAUGAAGGACGGGACUAACACCGAUAUGCUUUGGGGAGCUGUAAGUAAGCUAUGAUCCAGAGAUUUCCGAAUGGGGGAACCCAAUAUCUUUUAUAGGAUAUUACUUUUCAGUGAAUACAUAGCUGAUUAGAGGUAGACGCAGAGAACUGAAACAUCUUAGUACCUGCAGGAAGAGAAAGAAAAUUCGAUUCCCUGAGUAGCGGCGAGCGAAACGGGAAGAGCCCAAACCAACAAGCUUGCUUGUUGGGGUUGUAGGACUCCAAUAUGGUAGUCUGUUAGUAUAGUUGAAGGAUUUGGAAAAUUCCGCUAAAGAGGGUGAAAGCCCCGUAGACGAAAUGCUAACAACACCUAGGAGGAUCCUGAGUACGGCGGAACACGAGAAAUUCCGUCGGAAUCCGCGGGGACCAUCCCGCAAGGCUAAAUACUCCCUAGUGACCGAUAGUGAACCAGUACCGUGAGGGAAAGGUGAAAAGCACCCCGGAAGGGGAGUGAAAUAGAUCCUGAAACCGUGUGCCUACAACAAGUCAAAGCUCGUUAAUGAGUGAUGGCGUGCCUUUUGUAGAAUGAACCGGCGAGUUACGAUUGCAUGCGAGGUUAAGUCGAAGAGACGGAGCCGCAGCGAAAGCGAGUCUGAAUAGGGCGAAUGAGUAUGUAGUCGUAGACCCGAAACCAUGUGAUCUACCCAUGUCCAGGUUGAAGGUGCGGUAAAACGCACUGGAGGACCGAACCCACGUACGUUGAAAAGUGCGGGGAUGAGGUGUGGGUAGCGGAGAAAUUCCAAACGAACUUGGAGAUAGCUGGUUCUCUCCGAAAUAGCUUUAGGGCUAGCCUCGGAAUUGAGAAUGAUGGAGGUAGAGCACUGUUUGGACUAGGGGCCCAUCUCGGGUUACCGAAUUCAGAUAAACUCCGAAUGCCAUUCAUUUAUAUCCGGGAGUCAGACUGCGAGUGAUAAGAUCCGUAGUCGAAAGGGAAACAGCCCAGACCACCAGCUAAGGUCCCAAAAUAUAUGUUAAGUGGAAAAGGAUGUGGGGUUGCACAGACAACUAGGAUGUUGGCUUAGAAGCAGCCACCAUUUAAAGAGUGCGUAAUAGCUCACUAGUCGAGUGACCCUGCGCCGAAAAUGUACCGGGGCUAAACAUAUUACCGAAGCUGUGGACUACACCAUUAGGUGUAGUGGUAGGAGAGCGUUCUAAGGGCGUUGAAGGUCGAUCGUGAGGACGGCUGGAGCGCUUAGAAGUGAGAAUGCCGGUAUGAGUAGCGAAAGACAGGUGAGAAUCCUGUCCACCGUAUGACUAAGGUUUCCUGGGGAAGGCUCGUCCGCCCAGGGUUAGUCGGGACCUAAGCCGAGGCCGAUAGGCGUAGGCGAUGGACAACAGGUUGAUAUUCCUGUACCAGUUGUUUUUGUUUGAACAAUGGAGGGACGCAGUAGGCUAAGGAAUGCAUGCGAUUGGAAGUGCAUGUCCAAGCAAUGAGUCUUGAGUAGAGUUAAAUGCUUUACUCUUUAAGGACAAGUUGUGACGGGGAGCGAAAUAAUAGUAGCGAAGUUCCUGAUGUCACACUGCCAAGAAAAGCUUCUAGUGAGAAAACAACUGCCCGUACCGUAAACCGACACAGGUAGUCGAGGAGAGUAUCCUAAGGUGAGCGAGCGAACUCUCGUUAAGGAACUCGGCAAAAUGACCCCGUAACUUCGGGAGAAGGGGUGCUGACUUCGGUCAGCCGCAGUGAAUAGGCCCAAGCGACUGUUUAUCAAAAACACAGGUCUCUGCAAAAUCGUAAGAUGAAGUAUAGGGGCUGACGCCUGCCCGGUGCUGGAAGGUUAAGAGGAUGGGUUAGCUUCGGCGAAGCUCAGAAUUGAAGCCCCAGUAAACGGCGGCCGUAACUAUAACGGUCCUAAGGUAGCGAAAUUCCUUGUCGGGUAAGUUCCGACCCGCACGAAAGGCGUAACGAUUUGGGCACUGUCUCAACGAGAGACUCGGUGAAAUUUUAGUACCUGUGAAGAUGCAGGUUACCCGCGACAGGACGGAAAGACCCCAUGGAGCUUUACUGUAGUUUGAUAUUGAGUGUUUGUACCACAUGUACAGGAUAGGUAGGAGCCGAUGAGACCGGAACGCUAGUUUCGGAGGAGGCGCUGGUGGGAUACUACCCUUGUGUUAUGAACCCUCUAACCCGCACCACUAAUCGUGGUGGGAGACAGUGUCAGAUGGGCAGUUUGACUGGGGCGGUCGCCUCCUAAAAGGUAACGGAGGCGCCCAAAGGUUCCCUCAGAAUGGUUGGAAAUCAUUCGAAGAGUGUAAAGGCAGAAGGGAGCUUGACUGCGAGACCUACAAGUCGAGCAGGGACGAAAGUCGGGCUUAGUGAUCCGGUGGUUCCGCAUGGAAGGGCCAUCGCUCAACGGAUAAAAGCUACCCUGGGGAUAACAGGCUUAUCUCCCCCAAGAGUCCACAUCGACGGGGAGGUUUGGCACCUCGAUGUCGGCUCG
rnacentral:rRNA from 1 species